CCUCCUCUUCUUCUUCUUCUUCUUAAUCAUAAGAGAGAUUAUUGUAUUGGUAAUGGCUUGUUUUGAAAAUCAUAAGCAAAAUAGACCCGGAAAAUCACUCAAACAUCCCCUUCCUGCACAUUCAAAACUUGAUAUUCCUUUAAAUCAUGACAUCCCAGAAAAUUCCUUUUUCGUUUGAGUGUUGAAGAAGAAGGAGAAGAAGAAGGGAGAAUUAAAUAUUUGAAAUCAUUCCAUUCAAAGAAGUUGAAGCAAAAAUAUCACGAAUGCAGACCAAGCUAUGGCUUAGUUUAUUAUAGUAAUAAUGUCAGUUUAUGAUUCUUUCAUUCAUUUUUAGAUUGUUUGAUGAGGUUUGGUGAUUGAAUAAUGUGGUGAGCUUGAAUCAUACAGACUAUAAUACUCGGAUUAGGAUGAUUUUGAUAACCAUUGGUAUAUCAGUAGCUCUUUCUUUAUAUAUAUGUGUAUAUAUAUUAUUCGUAUAUGGACUAAUUUGUCCAUUUUUUGAGUAAAGAGACCCAAAUAUAAUCUGACUCCUUUGUUCAAGGACCUGCAUAAUACUUUCUUUGCCUAUAUAUGUUACUUGGACCAGGGCAAUUUUGAUAGCCUUUGGCUCCAUUGGCAUAUCAGUUGGUCUCUUUGCAUAUAUGCAGAACAGUUAUCAAUUGAAUAUUUUAAAGCUCUUCAUCAGUUACCGAUAUCAAAAUCGGAUCGUAAUGGAAUUCCGGGGUAUGCAUCGAUCUAUCAUGCAGCACAUUGUGACAAAAAUUCUAUGCUCUAAACAAAGACAACCAGAAUAUGCAUAGUUCACACACUGCAACAAGAACUUGAUGGUAUCAGUUCAGAAGUUUCCGGUACUCAGAUUCAUUUG